rnacentral:rRNA from 1 species
UACAGAGACUGCAAGCGUUAUUCGGAUUCACUGGGCGUACAGGGUGCGCAGGCGGCCGAGUGUGUGAGGCGUGAAAGCCCGGGGCUUAACCCCGGAAUUGCACCUCAAACUACACGGCUAGAGCAUUGGAGAGGGUAGCAGAAUUCAUGGUGUAGCAGUGAAAUGCGUAGAUAUCAUGAGGAAUACCAGAGGCGAAGGCGGCUACCUGGACAAUUGCUGACGCUCAGGCACGAAAGCGUGGGGAGCAAAAGGG